rnacentral:rRNA from 1 species
GACGAACGCUGGCGGCGUGCUUAACACAUGCAAGUCGAACGGAAAGGCCCUGCUUUUGUGGGGUGCUCGAGUGGCGAACGGGUGAGUAACACGUGAGUAACCUGCCCUUGACUUUGGGAUAACUUCAGGAAACUGGGGCUAAUACCGGAUAGGAGCUCCUUCUGCAUGGUCGGGGUUGGAAAGUUUCGGCGGUUGGGGAUGGACUCGCGGCUUAUCAGCUUGUUGGUGGGGUAGUGGUUUACCAAGGCUUUGACGGGUAGCCGGCCUGAGAGGGUGACCGGCCACAUUGGGACUGAGAUACGGCCCAGAGUCCUACGGGAGGCAGCAGUGGGGAAUAUUGCACAAUGGGCGGAAGCCUGAUGCAGCAACGCCGCGUGCGGGAUGACGGCCUUCGGGUUGUAAACCGCUUUCGCCUGUGACGAAGCGUGAGUGACGGUAAUGGGUAAAGAAGCACCGGCUAACUACGUG